UACGUAGGGGGCGAGCGUUGUCCGGAUUUAUUGGGCGUAAAGAGCGUGUAGGCGGCCAGGUAGGUCUGCUGUGAAAACUCGAGGCUCAACCUCGAGACGUCGGCGGAAACCAUCUGGCUAGAGUCCGGAAGAGGAGACUGGAAUUUACGGUGUAGCGGUGAAAUGCGUAGAUAUCGUAAGGAAGACCAGUGGCGAAGGCGGGUCUCUGGACAGUUCCUGACGCUGAGGCACGAAGGUCAGGGGAGCAAACGGG
rnacentral:rRNA from 1 species